rnacentral:rRNA from 1 species
AGAGUUUGAUCAUGGCUCAGAAUCAACGCUGGCGGCGUGCCUCAGACAUGCAAGUCGAACGCGAAAGAGACCUUCGGGUUUCAAGUAGAGUGGCGUCCGGGUGAGUAACACGUAGGUAAUCUACCUUCGGGUGGGGAAUAACGCAGGGAAACUUGCGCUAAUACCGCAUAAUGCAGCGGCACCACAUGGUGACAGUUGUUAAAGCGGGGGAUUUUCGAACCUCGCGCCUGAAGAGGAGCCUGCGGCAGAUUAGCUAGUUGGUAAGGUAAUGGCUUACCAAGGCGACGAUCUGUAACCGGCCUGAGAGGGCGGUCGGUCACACUGACACUGACAUACGGGUCAGACUCCUACGGGAGGCAGCAGUCGGGAAUUUUGGGCAAUGGGCGAAAGCCUGACCCAGCAACGCCGCGUGAAGGAUGAAAUCCCUCGGGAUGUAAACUUCGCAAGAAUAGGAAGAAUUAGCGAGCGCUAAUACCGCUCGUGAUGACGGUACUAUUUGUAAGCUCCGGCUAACUCCGUGCCAGCAGCCGCGGUAAUACGGGGGGAGCAAGCGUUGUUCGGAUUUACUGGGCGUAAAGGGCGCGUAGGCGGCCAGCACAAGUCAGUUGUGAAAUCUCCGGGCUUAACUCGGAAAGGUCAACUGAUACUGUGCGGCUAGAGUGCAGAAGGGGCAACUGGAAUUCUCGGUGUAGCGGUGAAAUGCGUAGAUAUCGAGAGGAACACCUGCGGCGAAGGCGGGUUGCUGGGCUGACACUGACGCUGAUGCGCGAAAGCCAGGGGAGCGAACGGGAUUAGAUACCCUAGUAGUCC